AAACUUUCAACAACGGAUCUCUUGGCUCUGGCAUCGAUGAAGAACGCAGCGAAAUGCGAUAAGUAAUGUGAAUUGCAGAAUUUAGUGAAUCAUCGAAUCUUUGAACGCACAUUGCGCCCCUUGGUAUUCCGAGGGGCAUGCCUGUUCGAGCGUCGUCA
rnacentral:rRNA from 1 species